rnacentral:rRNA from 1 species
CAGUCGCCGCGGUAAUACGAAGGGGGCUAGCGUUGCUCGGAAUUACUGGGCGUAGAGGGAGCGUAGGCGGACAUUUAAGUCAGGGGUGAAAUCCCAGAGCUCAACUCUGGAACUGCCUUUGAUACUGGGUGUCUUGAGUGUGAUAGAGGUAUGUGGAACUCCGAGUGUAGAGGUGAAAUUCGUAGAUAUUCGGAAGAACACCAGUGGCGAAGGCGACAUACUGGAUCAUUACUGACGCUGAGGCUCGAAAGCGUGGGGAGCAAACAGGAUUAGAUAUCCGCGUAGUCCCUGUCUCUUAUAC